CAGAGCAGACAAUUUCCAGAACACGCCCGCCUGUUUCAGCAUCAGCUCCCAAAUUCUGGUCCUUCAACCACCCACACCUGUGAAACACAUUCCCAAGUCCCCCUCCCACCUACCUGAGCCUGGCAUGACCUCAGGACUAAAGCAGUGCAUUGGGAUUCUCCUUGCUGUUCAUAACCCACUGCAAGCCCAGAAAUGGGAGCAGCUUUUGCUCGUGGCAUCAGAUCUACCCCUGAUUCCCAAGAGAUUUGUGGCCUCUCCAAUUCAAUGUUCUGACCUACAACCCAAAAUGCAGGGUUGACCUAAGAGGUCAUGAAGGGCUAAGAGAAAUUUGGACAAAAGUUAGACCCCAGCCCAGCAAUGCCUAGAACCAGCUGCACUCUGAAACCUGCUGAAUCUUCUCUGCUAAGACCAUUCCAGGAGACCUUUUGCAGCUCAUUUUUCCCUCCCACAAGAAGUCCACAUCAAUGCUUAAAGUCUUUAUAAAGUGCUUGGAGUUCUACAAACUGCGCAGUGCUGGUGCAAAGGCAGGUGUUGAAAGCAGGGCUUGGGCUCUCUUUGGCCCAAAAUCUGCAGCUGAAUGUUUGGAUUUUGACUUGGCCACUCAUGCAGCAAUCAGUUAAAAUUUAAGCAAUGUCCAGAAGUCCUGUUGGCUCCUGUGAGGCCAAAGGACACAUCUGAAGUGAGGUGUGGGGUUAAAUCAGGUUUUCCAGUGGAGUCUAAUUGAUUCAACUCCCAGAAUACGCCUGAAUCUCUACACGUUUUCCAAAAAUGAGACUUGAAGAUGAGGUUACUUCACCUGGAUAAAGACUUGGAGGGUUUUAUGCCCAGUUUGUCUUUCCCAAAAGAUCAUGUUUUCCAUUAAAGGCAGACAUUCAGGAAAUUAAUGACUCCAAACUUCCACAAAUGUUGAAGCCAUGUAAAAAGGGACAGUGCCCCACAGUGCCACCCCCUCUGUGUCAGUGGCUCAUCCCUGACAAUGAUGGAACAGCUCCUAGUGCCACUGUGACAUCAGAAGCUCCUCGUGAGUUUGCAGAGCUUUUGAGAACUCCAGUUCUCUUCUGCUUAAACAAUCCUCACCUUAAAAAUGAGGCUGUGGAGAAUUCACUGCAAAUCCCUUUGCAUUUCCUCCGCGCUGAGGAAACGAGUGAGAUCAGCUCCAAACUUGCAGCGAGCUUGCCCUGCCAGAAAUAUUUGUGCCUGGACCAGCAAAGCCAACCUUCCCAGGCUGGCUUGGGAGAGCAGACACUUUGUUUUUUGGCUCCAAGGGAAAAUGUUGCCAGCUGCCAGCACUUAAACCAGCAGUGCUGCUGCUGCUGCUGAGCACGAAAUCAGCCAGGAUGACAUGAAAGGCAAGAGUGGUUCCUGCAGCUGGAGGAUGAUGAAGUUUGAAGGAGAGGCUCCGUGCAGGGAUCUGUGCUGGACCAGGGCUUGGGACCAGUGCAGCAGCAGCCUCCCAGUGCUCCCAUACCCAGCUAACAUGAAGGAAAAUCUCCCACUGUUUUCAGCCGAUUGUAACUCAAUUGUGUAAAAAAAAAAAUUUGCUCCAGGUGGCAAUUUGGCAUCUGCUUCCAUCUCCCCCUGCGGUGAGGGAUUGCAGGCACUGCUAACGAGGGGCUGAUUUUGCACACAGUGGGCCAGAUCCUGGGCUCCUGCAAAGCACAGGGAACAUGGUGGAGCAGGCAGCAGCUCGUUCCAGACCAGGGGAUAAGCCCCAGGAGUCUGUCCUUCCACUCCCUGUUGCGACAGCAGCUCGGAGCUGUGAGUUUUGGGCUGCAGCCUGGGGUUGCUGUUUGCAUCCGCAGCCUCUUUAAACAUUCUCGUGCCGUGUUAUCGCUCUGGAAUUCCAGAGUGCUGAGUCCCGGCCUCAAGCAGCCAGAGGAAUUUGCUCCCCAAGCAUUAAUGCCUUCUCCUUCCCCAGAAGGAUCCCCUGGGAUGGCUCCUGUUGUGCAAUGAGGGUGGGCUGGUGUCCUGCCAGGCCCCAGAUGCGGGUUUGGGCUUGGUCACCUCAUCCAGCUCUGGCACGUGAGAUGGGUGAUGGCACCAUCAUGGUCCAUGGUGGCACUGGGACAAGCCCAGGGUGAAGAACUGGGCACUGUGAAGGGCAGCAGCCUCUUCCAUCCCUUCCUCUCCAGGAGAAUCCAGGUUUGCAUCAACCCAUGCAGAGGCUCUGGGGGACAAGCCCCACAUCCUGGAUCCUCACUGCUAGUCCUCCCACCCAUCCUGAGGACAACACAGGAGGCUUCUCCACUCAGCUGCAGGACUCCUCACUGCAGCAGGAUUCCUGCCUGGGCUGAGCUCACAAGGAAGAAUUUGAAGUUGUACACACGCAAGAGCAAUACUUUAAAAAAAGAGGGGAAGAGAUAGAAAAGCUUCUGGAUGAAAACCAGGCGAAUUCCUUGAGUUUGGAGGAGGCUGAUCCACAUCUGCUUCCUGCAGGGGUUCCUGUCACUGCUGCUGCCUCUGCAGAAAGGCCGUGGGACAAACGGGGCUGGCGAAUCAUCCUGGGCGAGCUCCGAAGGAGCCAGCAAGCUUUUGCAGAAUCUUUUUGACGACAAGAGCGUUGUGCUGACAAAACAGCCCAUUUUCCCCGCUGCAACCCCCUCGUUAUCAGCCCCUGGUUGCAGGAGUGUUGGCUGACACUGCAGCGAGGCAGACGAGGAUUAUUAAGUUGUUGACAGAGAGCUCAUCCACUCGGAGCAGUUAUCGUGGCAGGGAGCAUCCAGCAUGCAGGCAGCUCCUGACAGGCUCUCUCAUCAGCCAGAUGCCGUGUGUGGGGGAGCCUCCUCAAGCCUCACACCCCGUUUUCCCCCCUCUUGUUGUGUUUAAAUGAGUCCCCCAGCAGCGUUAUGGUUGAUUUGCCCUGCAGAGAAAUUAAUGGGGACACGGCUGUAAAUAAUCUUGGAAAUGGUUCUUAGCUCACCCUCCAGGUGAGUCCAUCUCUGUAAGGGAUGUAUUUGGGAAAAUGCUGCUGUGAUUGCUCCAGGAAGGGCCAUGGGACCUUCGUGGAUGGGGAAAACCAGACCAAAGCCAGAACUUCACCUUGCCAAGACCUGCAUUGCUUUACUGAUUUUGGUAUAAGGCUCCUGAUUGCACCAAGUGGUAAAAGCCAUGCCAAAGGCCAGGAUUAGAGAGCCAAAGCACAGUUCAGUGCUGUAUUCCUGAGCUCAAUAAAUGUAUCCCCUCCUGGAAAUGCUGCUCAAUGUUAACAGGAUUACUGGGCCUGCUCAUCCAUCCAGGCAACCUCUCAGAGAGGGGUAGGAAGGAAGGAAGGAGGUGGGAAGGAUAGAAAAAAGGAGGAUGGAGGCUGGUGAAAUGUCCUUAAUCCUGCUCCUGUGCCCACUGGGACCCAGCACUCCCUCCCUGCUGCUCUGCCAUCCAGACAGUUCCACAAUCACAAGGAAGCAGCAAGACCAGCCCCAACCCCUGGUGCAGCACUGCAAAACUCAAGGUUUCACUUUGAUCUCUGCCUGGAAGAUGAAAAGUCUUAAUCAAGGCUGAGAGCACGUUAAACAGCAGACUCUGAAAUAAUUGGGCACUCCGGCCUCCUUAGGAUGAUGUGCAGGGGAAAAGGGACAACCAUGGCAUCCAGAUGAGGCACACCAUUGCAAAAAGCUGCAGAAAGCAGGAGGGAUGGAGAGGAGAGGGAUGGACUUGCUCCUGUGAUUGAAGAGAAAACAGCAGAGCCAACAUGGUGGUUUGUGUCACCUUGGCUCCCAGCACCUCACAACCAAUUCCACGUGCAACAACAACACACGAGAGUGAACAGGGAGGUUUGUGCCAUGGAAAAAGUGCUUUGCCCCAGACUGAAAACCUAAUUAGCAAUUAAAGAGGAAAGAGCAUCCCAUGAAGCAGAUAUACAGAUUCUUUUCCAGCCCAUCAGGUUUGCAGAGAGCAAGGGAGCAGCUUCUGGAGCAGCACAGGGCAGCGGGGCGAUGGACGGACGAGAGGAUCGUCUUCAAGAAUGGAAAGGACAUGAGACAAAAUGUUCUUGCUCGAUGUUGUAAACAAGCCUAAAGUGUUUUGAAAGACUCUGUCAAUAUAAAUUACUGACAAACAAGACAGUGGAAUUGCAAAAGAGGAGCCCAGCUGGAGGAAGGCUGCUUGCAGAGUGCCUGCUGCCCACCUCAGACUCUCAAUGCGGCAGCACCACUCUGCUGCCCUCCCACAUUCCUCUCUAUUCUUCUCCUCUCGAAUGGAGAAGAGGCAUCAAGUGCUCUGUGAGAGAUGAGUGCAUUAAAGCAUCCUCCAGCCCAGCUACUGCAGCCCUGACAGCCGAGGGAAUCUGCCAGCAGAGCUCUCUGUGCAGCGUUUCACGAUAAUUCCCUGUGCAAGCCCUCCCUGUGAGGGCUUGGGAGACUCGCUCAGCAGUGUCUGUGUCCCUGCUCCUCCCUGCUGGCAGCUCAUCCCCAUCCCCACAGCAUGGAUCAGGGAGCUCUUGGCAUCCUCCUGUGUGCUCAAGCCACGGGCAGGGAGCAGCUGUAAAUUCCCAGCCUCGGUUACCUGGUGUUAACUUUGUCAUCUUGUCUGGGACAGCAGCCAGAGCUCUGCCAGGAAGAACUGUGGCAGUGCCAGUCUUAGCUCGGCUGUGGACAGCCCAGGCAGCAAUCCUGGCAAAAAAAAGCCCAAAAUAGCGUAAUGCUGAUCCCUUACCCAUGGC